AUGAUGAUGAUGAUGAUGGUGGCCACCUUUGUCGCACUUGCGCCAGACAAGGUGGUGCUCCGGCGACAAGCAAGAGCACUCCUUGUCUGGAAAGAUAGCCUCGACAACCAGAGCCAGCACGCCCUUCACUCCUGGGAAAACACGACCACGCCCUGCAACUGGCAUGGCAUCAGUUGUGGUACCGGUGUGCACCAGUGGCGGCAUCGGCCUUCCAUCAGCAACAAAUCUCUGCGGGGGAUGCGGCUGAGAGGGGCGUUGCGGUCCCUCAACUUCUCAACCUUGAGGACUCUGACAUCAUUGGACCUCUCGCACAACCACCUCACUAGGAGCAUUCCUUCCAAUAUCGAGGCCCUCGGAGAGCUUCAUGCUCUCCUUCUUCAAGGCAACCAGAUAAGAGGCUCAAUUCCACUAGGUCUAGCAAAUCUCACAAAAAUCCAGUCCUUAAUGGUUGAGGAAAACGAAGUCUCUGGUGAAAUACCUAGGCGGAUAGGUAACAUGAGUAGUCUUGUGACGCUCAACUUGUCAUACAAUCAGUUAGCUGGUCAUAUCCCUUCUGAAAUAGGCCACGUGAAUCAUUUGGUUACAGUAGACUUGUCAAAUAGUAAUAUUUUCAGUUCAAUCCCAAGCAACAUAGAUGAUUUGACCAAACUCACUACCUUAUACCUUUAUAAUAAUCAACUGGUUGGACACAUUCCUCGAGAACUAGGUCAGUUAUUGAACUUACAGGACUUGAUGUUAGCCAUCAACACACUGUCAGGUUCUAUCCCAAGCACCAUAGGGAAUUUGACAAAACUAACUACCUUGUUUCUAUUUAGUAACCAACUUUCUGGGAAAAAUCCACGAGAACUAGGUUAGUUAUUGAACUUGCAGGACUUGGAGCUUGCCGUCAACACACUCUCAGGUUCUAUCCCAAGCACCAUAGGGAAUUUGACAAAGCUCACUACCUUGAAACUUGGUGAGAACCAACUUUCUAAGAAAAUUCCACGAGAGCUAGGUUGGUUGCUGAACUUAGAGAACUUGGAGCUUAACUUCAACAAGCUAAUUGGUCCCCCAAACAUCUUAGGAAAUUUGACAAAACUCACUGGCUUGUAUAUUGCCUAGAACCAAAUUUCUGGGUAAAUUCCAGGAGAACUAGGUUGGUUGUUGAACUUACAAGACUUGGAGCUUGACAACAACACACUCUCAGGUUCUAUUCCAAUCACCAUAGGGAAUUUGACAAAACUCACUAUCUUGUACCUUGACUAUAAUGAACUUUUCGGAUCCAUUCCUCAGGAAAUGGACAAGCUAAUGAGUCUAGUUGAGCUUGAACUCGCUGUUAACAACCUCUCUGCUAGCUUGCUAAGUUGCAGAAGCCUAGUCAGGCUUCGACUUGAACGAAAUAACCUCAAAGGAGAUAUCACCAAAAUGGGAGCUCAUCCAAAUCUUGUCUAUAUUGAUAUCAGUUCAAAAUCAAAUAGACUAUUUGGUAAAUUGUCUCAUCAUUGGGAGUCCCACAAACUUACCAAGCUACGUGCAUCAAACAAUAAUAUAACUGGUGUAGUAGCAUCAAGCAUAGGGAAACUAUCUCAAUUGAGGAUACUUGAUGUUUCAUCAAAUAAGCUUGAAGGACAUAUUCAACCAGAAAUUGGCAAUGUAAUGAUGUUGUUCAAUUUGUCGCUGAACAAUUUGGAGUAUCUAGAUUUAUCAUCAAACAACCUAACUGGGCAAUUACCAAGAAAUUGUCUUAAGCUUCACUUCCUAAAGCUGAGCCAUAAUCACCUCAAUGGCACCAUUCCUAUCGAGCUAGGGAUUUUGGUAAACCUGCAAGAUCUGUUGGAUCUAAGUGACAAUUCAAUUGAUGGCACUAUCCCGAGUGUGUUAGGUGGUCUUCGUAUGCUUCAAGCCUUGAAUGUUUCUCACAAUGCACUCAGCGAGGAUGUGUAUAGGAAAAUUGUUGAUGCUACAAAUAAUUUCAGUGACACUCGUUGCAUUGGAUCUGGAGGAAGUGGAUAUGUGUACAGAGCUCAACUACAAACAGGUGAAUUAUUUGCAUUGAAGAAGAUCCAUGUGGUGGAUGAUGAUGAUCAAUUUAACCGUGAAAUACAUGCUUUGAUGCAUAUUAGACAUCACAACAUUGUGAAGUUAUUUGGUUACUGCUCCACAACUCAGGGAAGAUUCCUUGUGUAUGAAUACAUGGACAGAGGAAGCUUAUCAGCAUAUUUGAAGCAUAAGGAAACUGUUGUUGAAUUGGAUUGGACAAGGAGGCUAAAUAUUGCUCGGGAUGUUGCUCAUGCUUUAGCUUACAUGCAUCAUGACUGCUUUGCGCCAAUAGUUCAUAGAGAUAUAACAAGCAACAACAUUUUGCUUGAUCUAGAAUUUCAAGCCCACAUAUCAGAUUUUGGUCUAGCGAAAGUACAAGAGCUUGCAUACACAACAAGGGUAACAGAGAAGUGUGAUGUUUAUAGCUUCGGAGUGCUCGUUCUAGAGCUGUUCAUUGGACAUCAUCCAGCGGAUCUCCUUUCAUCCAUGGACAACCGCAACAAAACUAUAUUACUUGGGAACUUGCUGGACACCCGUCUCCCACUCCCUGAAGCUGAGAUCGCAAGUGAAAUAUUUCAAGUGGUUGCCGUCGCUGUUCAGUGCAUAGAGCCUGAUCCAUAGCACCAUCCAACGAUGCAGCAAGUGAUUAAGGUGUUCUCAACAGCUGAACGGUCACCUGCUAAUAAUCUUGAUUAUCUCCACACUGCCAUUGCCAUCCCCGCAUGCUCGUUCUGA
rnacentral:rRNA from 1 species